rnacentral:lncRNA from 1 species
UUCAUGGCCAGUGCAAAGGGGCUCUUUCCCCCUGCCUGCCUGUGAGAAGCUCUUGCCGGUGCCGCUGGUCUCUUGCCGCCCUCCUGGCCAAGGACUUCUUGGCUCCGGCGCAGUUGCACGUGGUGGUGCCGCUGCCCAUCGUUGGCCAUGGAAUUGCAGGAAAAAGCAUGAGCCAAGAUGACAAGCCCAGCCGAGCAUCAAAUCCUGAAAUGUGAGGUCUAUACAUACCAAGCAUGUUCCUACCGGAAGCCUGAGGAAAUCAGUUCUCCUGCCUUCAGUUCCUUGCACAUGCAUGGACAUCCAGAAACUGCACUUGACUGCAUGUUUACUUUCCAGUCCACCCUUUCCCUUCUAACAUAUAGCAUGCCAAAAUUCUGGAGAUGUUAAGGUACCACACACUCAGCUGUGGGGUUCAUCAGAAAUAGGCCAGAGUGCUCUAGACAGUUCCACAUCCUUACCAGUGACUCUCAGGCACUGAUGUGUAUCAGUUUUCUCUCUUAAGAAUGCUUCUGGGCAAAGUUAGGGCACCUAUCUCCUGCCUCUCUUCUGUAUAAGAGUAGAAAAUCUGGCAAGGAGAUAACGGGUCACAACAUUACCAAUACACUGAUAAUGCCUAGAUAUUGAUCUUUAUUGUAUUUUGCUCUGAUAACGCCAUUGCAGAGAUGUGGAAGAGUGAGCUAAGUGUAUUUCCAGCUGUACGAACGGAAAAGUUAAAUUACCAGUUGUCAGAACUCCUA